rnacentral:rRNA from 1 species
UACGAAGGGGGCUAGCGUUGCUCGGAAUCACUGGGCGUAAAGCGCACGUAGGCGGCUUGUUAAGUCAGGGGUGAAAUCCUGGAGCUCAACUCCAGAACUGCCUUUGAUACUGGCGAGCUUGAGUCCGGGAGAGGUGAGUGGAACUGCGAGUGUAGAGGUGUAAUUCGUAGAUAUUCGCAAGAACACCAGUGGCGAAGGCGGCUCACUGGCCCGGUACUGACGCUGAGGUGCGAAAGCGUGGGGAGCAAACAGG